GGAGGGGGCAAGCGUUUGUUCGGAAUUACUGGGCGUAAAGGGCGCGUAGGCGGAAGAUCAAGUCAGGGGUGAAAGGCCUGGGCUCAACCCGGGAACUGCCUUUGAAACUGGUUUUCUAGAGUACGGGAGAGGAUGGCGGAAUUCCCAGUGUAGAGGUGAAAUUCGUAGAUAUUGGGAAGAACACCGGUGGCGAAGGCGGCCAUCUGGCCCGGUACUGACGCUAAGGCGCGAAAGCGUGGGGAGCAAACAGGAUUAGAUACCCUGGUAGUCCACGCCGUAAACGAUGUGUGCUAGCCGUUGGGGCUUCAGGUCUCGGUGGCGCAGCUAACGCGUUAAGCACACCGCCUGGGGAGUACGGCCGCAAGGUU
rnacentral:rRNA from 1 species